AGUGAACGCUGGCGGUAGGCCUAACACAUGCAAGUCGAACGGCAGCACAGUAAGAGCUUGCUCUUACGGGUGGCGAGUGGCGGACGAGUGAGGAAUACAUCGGCAUCUACUUUUUCGUGGGGGAUAACGUAGGGAAACUUACGCUAAUACCGCAUACGACCUACGGGUGAAAGCAGGGGAUCUUCGGACCUUGCGCGAUUGAAUGAGCCGAUGUCGGAUUAGCUAGUUGGCGGGGUAAAGGCCCACCAAGGCGACGAUCCGUAGCUGGUCUGAGAGGAUGAUCAGCCACACUGGAACUGAGACACGGUCCAGACUCCUACGGGAGGCAGCAGUGGGGAAUAUUGGACAAUGGGCGCAAGCCUGAUCCAGCCAUACCGCGUGGGUGAAGAAGGCCUUCGGGUUGUAAAGCCCUUUUGUUGGGAAAGAAAAGCAGCAGGUUAAUACCCCGCUGUUCUGACGGUACCCAAAGAAUAAGCACCGGCUAACUUCGUG
rnacentral:rRNA from 1 species